rnacentral:rRNA from 1 species
GAUGAACGCUGGCGGCGUGCCUAAUACAUGCAAGUCGAGCGAACGGACGAGAAGCUUGCUUCUCUGAUGUUAGCGGCGGACGGGUGAGUAACACGUGGAUAACCUACCUAUAAGACUGGGAUAACUUCGGGAAACCGGAGCUAAUACCGGAUAAUAUUUUGAACCGCAUGGUUCAAAAGUGAAAGACGGUCUUGCUGUCACUUAUAGAUGGAUCCGCGCUGCAUUAGCUAGUUGGUAAGGUAACGGCUUACCAAGGCAACGAGGCAUAGCCGACCUGAGAGAGUGAUCGGCCACACUGGAACUGAGACACGGUCCAGACUCCUACGGGAGGCAGCAGUAGGGAAUCUUCCGCAAUGGGCGAAAGCCUGACGGAGCAACGCCGCGUGAGUGAUGAAGGUCUUCGGAUCGUAAAACUCUGUUAGUAGGGAAGAACAUAUGUGUAAGUAACUGUGCACAUCUUGACGGUACCUAAUCAGAAAGCCACGGCUAACUACGUG